CGACGGAAUGUCCGCUGAUGCGAUUUCGGUCAAUCUUGUGGCGUUUUAGUGGCGGACGGGUGAGUAACGCGUGGGUAACCUGCCUCACACUGGGGGAUAACACUUAGAAAUAGGUGCUAAUACCGCAUAAGCGCACGGGACUGCAUGGUCUUGUGUGAAAAACUCCGGUGGUGUGAGAUGGACCCGCGUCUGAUUAGCUGGUUGGCGGGGUAACGGCCCACCAAGGCGACGAUCAGUAGCCGGCCUGAGAGGGUGGACGGCCACAUUGGGACUGAGACACGGCCCAAACUCCUACGGGAGGCAGCAGUGGGGGACAUUGGACAAUGGGGGGAACCCUGAUCCAGCGACGCCGCGUGAGUGAAGAAGUAUUUCGGUAUGUAAAGCUCUGUCAGCAGGGAAGAAGAAAUGACGGUACCUGACCAAGAAGCCCCGGCUAACUACGUGCCAGCAGCCGCGGUAAUACGUAGGGGGCAAGCGUUAUCCGGAAUUACUGGGUGUAAAGGGAGCGUAGACGGUUAAGUAAGUCUGGAGUGAAAGGCUGGGGCCCAACCCCGGGACUGCUCUGGAAACUAUUUAACUUGAGUGCAGGAGAGGUAAGCGGAAUUCCUAGUGUAGCGGUGAAAUGCGUAGAUAUUAGGAGGAACACCAGUGGCGAAGGCGGCUUACUGGACUGUAACUGACGUUGAGGCUCGAAAGCGUGGGGAGCAAACAGGAUUAGAUACCCUGGUAGUCCACGCCGUAAACGAUGAUUACUAGGUGUCGGUGGGUAUG
rnacentral:rRNA from 1 species